GACGAACGCUGGCGGCGUGCUUAACACAUGCAAGUCGAACGGAAAGGCCCUGCUUUUGUGGGGUGCUCGAGUGGCGAACGGGUGAGUAACACGUGAGUAACCUGCCCUUGACUUUGGGAUAGCUUCAGGAAACUGGGGCUAAUACCGGAUAGGAGCUCCUGCUGCAUGGUGGGGGUUGGAAAGUUUCGGCGGUUGGGGAUGGACUCGCGGCUUAUCAGCUUGUUGGUGGGGUAGUGGCUUACCAAGGCUUUGACGGGUAGCCGGCCUGAGAGGGUGACCGGCCACAUUGGGACUGAGAUACGGCCCAGACUCCUACGGGAGGCAGCAGUGGGGAAUAUUGCACAAUGGGCGGAAGCCUGAUGCAGCAACGCCGCGUGCGGGAUGACGGCCUUCGGGUUGUAAACCGCUUUCGCCUGUGACGAAGCGUGAGUGACGGUAAUGGGUAAAGAAGCACCGGCUAACUACGUGCCAGCAGCCGCGGUGAUACGUAGGGUGCGAGCGUUGUCCGGAUUUAUUGGGCGUAAAGGGCUCGUAGGUGGUUGAUUGCGUCGGAAGUGUAAUCUUGGGGCUUAACCCUGAGCGUGCUUUCGAUACGGGUUGACUUGAGGAAGGUAGGGGAGAAUGGAAUUCCUGGUGGAGCGGUGGAAUGCGCAGAUAUCAGGAGGAACACCAGUGGCGAAGGCGGUUCUCUGGGCCUUUCCUGACGCUGAGGAGCGAAAGCGUGGGGAGCGAACAGGCUUAGAUACCCUGGUAGUCCACGCUGUAAACGGUGGGUACUAGGUGUGGGGUCCAUUCCACGGGUUCCGUGCCGUAGCUAACGCUUUAAGUACCCCGCCUGGGGAGUACGGCCGCAAGGCUAAAACUCAAAGGAAUUGACGGGGCCCCGCACAAGCGGCGGAGCAUGCGGAUUAAUUCGAUGCAACGCGUAGAACCUUACCUGGGUUUGACAUGGAUCGGGAGUGCUCAGAGAUGGGUGUGCCUCUUUUGGGGUCGGUUCACAGGUGGUGCAUGGCUGUCGUCAGCUCGUGUCGUGAGAUGUUGGGUUAAGUCCCGCAACGAGCGCAACCCUUGUUCACUGUUGCCAGCACGUUAUGGUGGGGACUCAGUGGAGACCGCCGGGGUCAACUCGGAGGAAGGUGGGGAUGACGUCAAGUCAUCAUGCCCCUUAUGUCCAGGGCUUCACGCAUGCUACAAUGGCUGGUACAGAGAGUGGCGAGCCUGUGAGGGUGAGCGAAUCUCGGAAAGCCGGUCUCAGUUCGGAUUGGGGUCUGCAACUCGACCUCAUGAAGUCGGAGUCGCUAGUAAUCGCAGAUCAGCAACGCUGCGGUGAAUACGUUCCCGGGGCU
rnacentral:rRNA from 1 species